GUCAGGAGAAAUCAUAGUUGGCAGCAGUAAGACUGGUCUCGGGGACUCCAGGACUGGGCUUGAGCCUUUGUCCUUCAAGAAUUAAGGACAAUGGAGAGUUCAGUUCUACUCCAGAGUUAGUGAAUGAUCCUUCUUAAGCCUAAUGAUCUGCACCAGAGGAAGGAAUAUUCUGUCCAGAGCCAAGAGAAUGAUUGGGAAAGUUCCUGUCAAGCUGAAGAAGCUGAACCACCAUUUGGUAGCUUCAGGAGGUCAUCUAGGUCAAUCCUCUGCCUCUGGGCUGACCCACAUCAGCAGUUGAAGGAGACUCCAUCAUAACCCUGGACUUGAAUCAUCCUGAAUGCCCUGAAGUUCUUCCUUACAUCUAAUGAAACUCUCCCUUGUUGUAAUUAGUGUUCCUAAUAAAGAGGGACCAGACAGCCCA